GUCACUUCUCACUCUGAUAUCCUGACCCAGAGGCCCAGGUUUCCAAGAGUCCCCCUCUCCAGCCUAAUUUCUGCAUUGGUUCAUGUAAACAAAACACAGGUAAUCUCAAGCUACUGGAGUUUCCUGAAUGGAAGAGAUAAGGUCAGACCCAGACUUUAGGAAGAUCAAUUUGGAAGCCAGAAGGCAAUGGGGUGAGUUUUCAGGAAAACACUGAUGUGGAGUUCAAGCUCAUCUAAAAAGGCACAAGAACAUAACAAGUAAUAAAUAGCACCUCACAAGUCAGGGGAAAUGGACCUCUAAACAAAUCUGGUAUAAAAUCUGAUGAAAUCAGAUCAUCCUAAGAAUAUUUACAGAUGAAAAUGGGAAGACAAAAAAUAGACACAAAGACAAAUGUCUGUGUUUCUAUAGUACUUUAUUCUCAAAAUUGAUGACAAUUAAAUCAUCAUAGCAGAAUUCUUAUAUAUGAGGAUGUGUAACUGGAACUUAAGAAGAAGACAUCACAAAAAGAAGUCAAACCUGACCAAGCACAUAGAAAAGACAUUUUUACUGGAAGUGUAAACUCUGAAGGCAGAAGAGAGCUGACUUUUCAAGGUAUCAAGAGGGAAGGAUAACAAAAGAAUGGAGGAAAAAAACCCAAAAAAAACAAGAAUGAUGUUGACUAAAUAAAAAAGUAACCAAAAAGACAUUAUGCAAACCUAAAUUACUUAUUUCUUUUCUCUAUAAAAUCUUUAUACUGAUACAUAUAGCUAAGCUCAUAUAAGAUCCCUUCAUAAAUACAAUCACAGAGAAAUUUUCCUCAUGAUUUAGAGUCAUGGCUGCCACAGGCUUUCACUACAUUCAUUUAAGUUUAACCAGUCCUACUGUUUGCAAACGCCAUUUGAGUACAUCAAGAACCACACUAUAAAGGUUUACUAAAUGAGAACUAUAAUGCCUCAAAAGAGUGCCAAGCAAAUCAGAGAGAAAAAAAUCACAUCAUAAAGAUAAAGAAGACACUGCACAGAUUACAACAUGUAAUUGGAUGACUCGGCUCACUGAGUGUUAACUUUCUCAAAGUAAAGCUUGGACGGGCACUGUACGAUGGAUAAGGAGUAAGUCCUUGAACCUUCCAAUUAUCUGUAGAAUGCCUCUCAAUUUACCUGAACUCAUUUCUCUGGUAGCUAACAUAAUCCUUUUUCUCUUCUCACUCUUCAAAAAGAGGGGCAUCUGAAUGCCAAAGGACAAAAGCCCUCUCUCUUUGACUCUUUCUGUCCACUUCAUCAUUCAAUCCAGCACAACUCAAACCUCCCCAUUCUAAUACUUCAUGCUAAAUACUGUCCUGCAACUUGUACUCUACAAUGAACAAAUUUCAUUUAAGAAUUAUUUCUCAUAUACUCCCAUCUUCUUGACUCAUUAUGACCUGCCUCCCUCACAUGAAUGUGCAUUUCUAACCAUCCUUUUUUGUACUGGUUGAAUUUUCUCUCAUACAAUUUAGUGGUUCCAGUGGAUGUUCCUUCUCAUUGCUACUGCUAGAAACAAUCUCUCCAUCCAUCACACUUGGCAACCUCUUCUCUUAAGGUUUCUUCUACUUAAAUUUAUUACCUAAAAUUCUCAUUUUGGUGGCCGUUAUAUCUUUGCACCCCAGGUCAUUUCCCCUCCUUUCUCAAGGGAUUCAGAAACUGACUGUCUCUCUCUCAGUGACUACCCUUAUUAUGAAACAUAUGUUUUUCAAAGAUACUGACUUCUCCAUUACACAAUCUACAAGAUGAACCAGCUCUCCUACUUCACCUUGGCUACACACUGAAAUGGUUAUACCUUUGACCUUAUCAUCCCUCUCAAAGAGUUCUGAUUGUGUGUUUAAUCCAAAAUUUCCUUAUCUGUACAUAAUCUCUUCUUCUGACUCAUUCUAUAUAUCUGACAUUUAUAUGUAGCUAUCUGUCAGUUACAGAUUUUAUUUUUAUUCCCACAUGCUGUGUGUAUGUGUGUAUUCAUUCAUAUAUUUCUUUUCCUCCACUUACCCAGCCAAUAAACAGAAGAGAGGUAGUCUGGCCAUCCAAUGAAAACACAUCUAACUCAAACACACCACUAGUAUUGAUAAGAAAAACAAUAGGAGUGAGAGGGGAGGGGAGAGAGAGGGAAGGUAAAGAGAAGGAGGAAAGAGAGGAGGGAGAGAAAA